UUGAGGAGGCAGGUAGGUAGGUAGGUGGGAAGAAGACUGCGCAGGGGCACGUGUGCAGGGUCCUUCCAGGGGGAGGGGAGCGCGGGGCAGGUGUGGCCACAAGCUGGUCUGCGCGCGCCAUCUAGUGGGCGCCCCGGGGACGGUCCGUUUGGGCAAGAGCCGCAGGAGCCAAUCAGAAUCGCCGUCUUGCCGGUUGUGAAAUUAAGGCCCUUUGGGGAGAGGUGUGCAGGGCUCCGCGCUAAGCUAUGCAAAAAAAAAAAAAAAAAAAAAAAAAGGAGGGGGGAGUGCAUUGCCACGUUUCCUGCGCGUUUCCCUCUGGGGUGCGCGGGGAGGGCCGGGGCCUAAGGAUUCUUUACAGCCGCCUCUAAUCCAACUGGCCAGUGACCCUGGCCCCCUGGUUACAGAGUACUCUCAAAGUCACCACUACUCUUAAGAGGGUCCCCCCUUUAAUCACACUGGUAUGCUGAAGAGAAGCGGCGGUGGACGUUCACUGCGCCCAUGUCACGGGACAAACCCCGGGCAUAUAUCGUUGCCGCCCACAGCCUGGAUGAGGCUAUCCUAGGGGGAAUUAUAUUGUCCUUUUGCAGGUGGGAUGACGGAGGUUCACGGAGGCGGGCUGUGUUGAAGAUCACAAAGCUUAAGGAAGGGGUGAGGCAGGUCUGAACUGAGACGGCCUGACUUUCUGUAGGUGCGCACGUCUCCCCGUCUCCCUGGCUGCGGACAUGACGCUGUCCCUUCGCUGACCAGCACGCAGAAAGAAAAUGAUGUUCUCCGAAUACAGCCUCCUGAUGAUUUUACCACCUUUAAGGGGUGUGUGUAAAACAGAAGCAAAUAAAACCCUUCACAUAA